UGACACUUAUCACAAAUUAGAAAUGUCUCAUAAUGCUGAUAAAAUGGGGACUUAGAAUGAAGAAUUUCUUCACCUACCACAAUAGCAAAUGUGUUGGAUGUCUAACCUGUACUACACUGUAGUAUAUAUUGAUGACUGUAUCGUACUUCUAAAUGUAAUGAAAACAAGCUAACAAAUCCUGUGCCUCUGGAAAAGCCAUCCUUUGCAAAUCCUCUCUAUACGUAAUCUUAAAAAGCAUUCAUACUGAUAGCAAAUACUAAAUGUAUUUUGUAUAUUUUUUAAUGCAGAGGGAGAGAAUGGCUGCUGGCUGGAUGACAUUAGCAAACAGACCAUCCCUAAUCUGCUCUUCAGCACAUGGCCUACAUCUUGUUGCUAUCAUUCCUCUUUUCUUUGAGUGAAUAACUCUCAUUUCACGAGGCUUUUCUAAGCAGAACCCAUCCUUCAGUAUGCCUGUAUAUACAGCAGUUUUACACAGACUUUUUUCUCUAUGCCCAACACAACGGCAGAAAAUGGAGCUGCUGACACUAACAAGGAAAAAAGGAAGGUGGUCAUUCCUGGAGAAGACGCCUCUCUCUUUAAUAUCCUGACACAGCGAGGUGGUUGCCCACAGAUUAGGAAACUGUUUCCAGAGCUCAUCAUCACCCAAGUGAGGUGGUUGCCACAACAGAUUGUGCCUGGUACUUAAGGGCAUUUCAAAGAAGUCAUACUGCAAAACGUAAAGGAUUGGAUUAAAAACCAAAUCAAUCAAACAAAACCAAAAUGAAACAUCACACACACCAAAAAAAAAAAAAAAAAAAACCCACCCAACUGCAAAUGAUAGAUAGCCAGCAUUGUCAUUGUAAGAACAAGUAUGUUCAAUUUAUCAAAGUAGGAAUAUUUAAACUUCUGUCAGUUCACACAUUAUUUUGGUCAGAAUUCAGGAUUUAAUAAUUUUCUGACUUGAGCAUUGUGGGUUUUUUUUAUUAUGAGUAUUAUAGAAUCAUAGAAUCAUCAAG
rnacentral:lncRNA from 1 species